GUGAAUAUAAUUUAAUUAAAAUAUUAGGUUGUGGUCCUAAUAAUGUGGAAUAAUAUUCCACUAUUCACC
rnacentral:tRNA from 1 species